AUUGGGUUGAACAUAGUUAGUUACGUGGCAACAAGUCCAGGAAAUAAAUUAAAACACUUUACCAAAACAACAAUUAGAGGAAAAAAUGGAUAAACGUUUUGUCUUCCUACUGCUGCUAGAAAUUUUUAGUGCGUUAUGAUUUUGAUAAGUGGAGCAGCAAUCUCUAUGUUUUGAAGAAGAAAACCGAGCAAGUUGCUUUUUUCCUGUUUCCAUUUCCACUUGCAAGAAGCUUCCAUCUUCUAUAUGUGAACCAAGCAAGCAACAUCCAUAUAGAUCACAUGCUUCAUGAUAGAUAGAGACUGAAUUUUCGAUCCGAGUAUGGACAAGAUUGUUCCAUCUUAGCCAAGCUUCAUAACUAGGAUUGAAACGAUUUGAUAACGACGCAAAUUAAACCAAAAAUCUAAUUUAAGUUCUUCAUGAUAAUCAUACACUUCAUGGAAUGCGGCCAAGAAUGGUAUUUCUUACCAUCAAGAAGAGAAGUGACAAAAGGGGCUGGAGUCCUUAUAGCAGGAUGCUUGUAGUAUGGAUUUUGUGUAUGAUCAGUAGGUUGAAUAUUUUGAUUUAUGGCAUUAACAAGCACGGUCGUUGGAGGCAUGGUGAAGAAUGAGUAGCCCAGUGCUCUUUUGAGCUCUUAUACCAUAUUAGUGAAUGAAGAUCAAAUUGAAAAGAAUUCGAGAGAGAAAUUGACAUUGAAGAUCAGAUUAUGUAUUCAACUUUUUAGAAUGCAUAUUACAGCUAAACUAACUUGUGAAACCUAAUUGGAAUUGAAUUCUAAUCUUGAGAUGUUUGAUAGUGGAUCCAGGCCCGGGGUUUCUUUGAAACAGUUAAAUUGAUCACAUUGUGCAAUGAGGAGUACUUUAUUGUUUCAUCUUUCAUUGGAUUCUUUUGAAUGCUAUAGCCAUGGUAUAUUUUGAUCAAGAAAAUGGCGAGGUCGCUAAAGACUUACUUAAAUAAAUGAUGGAGUAGACCGUUUAGCUCAAUACAACACCUCUGUUGCAAGCAAUAAUCUGGACUUAUCAUCUGGUCUCCCCUAAGAUAAAGGAUCCCACCAGACUUGUGUUCUGAAGGGCACAAAAUUACAAGCCUAUAUAGUAUAAGGAAACCAUAACAGUACUUGGAGUUCAAAGACAUCGAUGGGGCAAAUGAGGGUUUAGUUAACGUGUCAGAUUCUUGCAGAGUGACUGGAGACAAUAACUUUUUCUCUGAAGGGAAAAAAAACCAAUUGAUGGAGUUCUUCCAGCUUAUUCAGGAACACUUGUAGAUGAGAAGAUUUCAAUCUGUAUACUCAGUGUGCUUACACAUUUUGGAUUGUUUGGUAUGCUAUAGCCAUGGAAGGUUUUGAUCAUGAAGAUGGUGAGGUUUUUAAAGAAUUACUUAAAACAAAAGAUGGAACAGAUCAGUUAGUUCAAUACAACACCUCUGUUGCAAGCAGAAGGUUUUAGAUCAUUGAUGAAGAAAGCUACUGAGAUAGGAAAGUACUCGGGAUACAAAUUUGAUGCUGGUGCAGAUCGGUUUUCCCAUUUACAAUACGCAGACGACACGUUGAUCAUAGGUGAGAAGAGUUGGGCGAACAUUAGAAUAAUAGAAGCAAAUCUAUUGCUGUUUGAAUUAAUGUCGGGGUUAAAGGUUAACUUUCAAAAGAGUUAUUUGGUGGGAAUAAAUGUUCCUCCAUGUUGGAUUGGAGAGGCAGCGAAGGUUCUAAAAUGUAAAAUAGGCUCCUUCCCGCUCAACUACCUCGGCAUCCGGAUAGGAGCGAACUCGAAGAGGAUAAGCAGCUGGAAUUCUGUGAUGGAUACUGUGAAAUCUAGACUAUCAAAAUGGAAGAAUAAGUACUUGUCGUUGGGUGGUAGGAUUGUUUUAUUAAAGUCAGUCUUGUAUUCUCUUUCGGUUUACUUCCUCUCUAUCUUCAAAGCCCUGUCAGGUAUCAUCUCAAAAUUAGAAUCUAUUUUCAAAAAAUUCUUGUGGGGUAACUGGGGAGGAGAGAAAAAUUAAUUGGGUUAGCUGGGAUAAGGUGUGUAGGCCUCCUGAAGAGGGUGGAUUGGGUAUUAGGAAUUAAUUUGAGGGUAUUUAAUGAGGCAUUAUUAGGUAAGUGGGCAUGGAGAGUUAGAUUAGUCAAGUCAGGUAUGUGGUAUAGGGCACUGGUCAACAGAUACGGGUCGACAAAUGGGGAUUUAAAUUCAGGGGGCAGUGCUACCUCAGUAUGGUGGAAGGAUAUUAGUCGGAUAGCUUUAGGGAACUGGUCUCAAUCAGAGGCAGAGGUAUAUUCAGUGAAGGAGAGGCAUACAAGAGGUUAAUGUCAGAACCUCAAAAUAGUUCAAGUCUUCCAUGGUCUAAAGUGUGGAACAAGACAGUGCCGUCAAAAGUGUCGGGGUUAGUGUGGAGAAUGUUUCAAAACAGGAUCUCUACCAAAGACAAUCUUGCUAGAAGGGGAGGGGCUGUCCAGGGUACGAAUAGGUGCGAGGGAGAGUGUGGUAGUGAAGAGUCUGCAUCUCACCUAUUUUUUGAGUGUCCAGUUUUUGCAGGCACGUAGAGCAGCAUAUAUCAUUGGCUUGGAGUCAAUACUGCUAUGCACAAUGAUGGGUGGCAACACUUUUUGCAAUUUGAUGGGCUGUUGAGCAGAGGGAAUCGGGCGUCCCCGAAGGUAGCAGUGAUCUGGUUCGCUCGUGUGUGGGCAAUUUGGAAGGCAAGGAACGAAAAGAUUUUUUGAAAUGAGGAAAUCAACGUUGAAAAAAUGGUUGAAGAAGCAAAAGUCCUAUCCUGGAAGUGGCUCCGGUUUAAAACAACGAUGUUUUCUGAUAGCAUUUCGCAAUGAUUCACCCAUCCUAGGGAGUGUCUUGGGAUGUUGGAUGCCGACAGAUAAAGUUUGUGGAAUUGCAUCAUAGGCUCUGUGUACAGUUAUGUCUAGAGGAGGAACUGCUGACUUGGGCUAACUGGUAGAAAUUUCUGCUCUUUGGAUUCACUUACAGCGUGUUAUCAUCAACUUCGAAUCGACAAAUCCUAUUCAGUAUUUUCCUCCUUUCUUGGUCUGAGGGGGGCUGGUAGGGGUGUUCAUUAUCCAGCUGUUUUGGCGUGGUCACAGAGGCGGGUGGCGAUUGCAGCAUUUGGUGUGGAGACCGUGGCGCUGUCAAAUUUUUCGUUUCAAAGCGGUCUGUUUUUGUGUCGCAGUUUGGCGGUCUUUUGAGUCUGAAAGUUUAUAUGUUGUAUAAGUCUGAAAAGGAGUUUAUAUGUUGUAUAAGUCUGAAAAGGAUUUCUAUCAGUGGAGUGUUACUGGUCUUGGUGGUAUGCUUCCUAUUUAAUAAGGAUUGUUUGGUAUGCUAUAGCCAUGGUAGGUUUUGAUCAUGAAAAUGGUGAGGUUUUUAAAGAUGGAACAGAUCAAUUAGCUCAAUACAACUUCUCUGUUGGAAGGUGAGUUUUUAUUCAUGUAGUUUCAUGUGCUGCAUUUGUAUUGAAAUUCAAUUGUCACUAGAUUGGGAUACUUCCAUAUAACUCAAGUUAGAGUUGAUCUCCUCUUCAAGCACAUGAGAUGAAUAGAGGCAGUGAUAAUUAUUAUAAGCUUUUCAUUGUAUUUGAUUGUAAUGUAUUACUAUUACUAUUACUAUUGAAUUGUAUGUAUCUAUACAAACAAAAUUUCAAUCCUCAGCAGAACCUUAAAAUUUGGAUGCUUGCUUUGGGGAGAAACUAAAGACACAGAAAACUAUUGAGUCA